CCCUUAGAUGUUCUGGGCCGCACGCGCGCUACACUGACGGAUUCAACGAGCUUACAACCUUGGCCGAAGGGUCUGGGUAAUCUCCAAAAUCCGUCGUGAUGGGGAUAGAUUAUUGCAAUUAUUAAUCUUCAACGAGGAAUGCCUAGUAAGCGCAAGUCAUCAGCUUGCGUUGAUUACGUCCCUGCCCUUUGUACACACCGCCCGUCGCUCCUACCGAUUGAAUGGUCCGGUGAAGCGUUUGGACUAUGGUUUUCUGAUGGUCCGCCGUUGGAUUACCGUGGGAAGUUCGUUAAACCUUAUCAUUUAGAGGAAGGAGAAGUCGUAACA
rnacentral:rRNA from 1 species